GAUUUCUUUGUGGCGGCAGACCAAUAUAUAGAUUUCUUUGUGGCAGCAGAUCAAUACAUUCGUCUAUUUCCGUCGUAUCCCAUCCUCUUAAGACAGCAAAAAAAACCCUGCAUUUGUAUUAGGGUUUUUGGAUCAAACACUUCUCUUCUUUGAUCUUCAUCUGGUAAAAAUGGAACCUCCUUGAUCCAUUUCAAUGGCGGAGUACUUUACUAGGCUCUUCGGAGUAUUCUUCUGUGGCAUCUGAGUUUUGGCUGGCAUUGCAUAAAACCUAGAGAAAGAAACUCUAUUUCUCAGUUCCCUUUUAUUCGCUAGAAUGGAAGAAACACCUAGAAAACGAGGAAGAAAAAGUAAGAAAGACAAGAAUGGUGCAUCCUCUAAUUCUCAAAUACCAGGCGAUUCUGGCGCUUCAAUGGAUCCAGUUUUCUCAAUCAUGGAUGUUGAGGUUAUCAAUCAAAGUGCGCCAACUGCUCGGAAAAGGGGGAGACCGAAGAAGUUGCCCCCUGUUGCAGUUCAGAGCAAUGGGGUUGGUCAUUUGAGAGAUGCCACCAAGAGAGACACUCCUUUAGAGAGAGAACAUGGAGCGCUUGAUCUGGUUUUGGUUUCGCCACAAAGAAGGAGCUUGAGAAUUCCUGAAAACAAUGCUAGGUUUUCGCCCCCACCAACUGACAUAAAGAAAGAGUGUUUAGGGAAGGUACUUCCCUCCAUGGAUGCUGUAGUAAAGGUUUUUUGCGUUCACACUGAGCCCAAUUUCUCUUUGCCAUGGCAAAGAAAGAGGCAGUACAGUUCUAGUAGUAGCGGGUUCAUUGUUAGUGGACGUAGGGUUUUGACAAACGCUCACUCAGUUGAGCAUUAUACCCAGGUUAAGCUAAAGAAGAGAGGGUCAGAUACAAAGUACUUGGCCACUGUUUUAGCAAUUGGAACUGAGUGCGACAUUGCAAUGCUGACAGUUAAUGAUGAUGAGUUUUGGCAAGGAGUAUCUCCUGUGGAAUUUGGAUCUUUACCUGCUUUGCAAGAUGCUGUUACUGUCGUUGGUUAUCCAAUAGGUGGCGACACAAUUUCUGUGACAAGUGGUGUUGUAUCACGUAUGGAGAUCUUAUCUUAUGUCCAUGGGUCCACGGAGCUUUUAGGUCUACAGAUUGAUGCAGCUAUAAACUCGGGAAAUUCUGGUGGACCUGCUUUUAAUGAUAAAGGCCAAUGCGUUGGUAUUGCAUUUCAGUCUCUUAAGCAUGAAGAUGUGGAGAAUAUUGGGUAUGUCAUUCCGACUCCUGUCAUCAUGCAUUUCAUCAAAGACUAUGAACAGUCAGGGGAUUAUACAGGAUUUCCUGUACUUGGGGUUGAGUGGCAGAAGAUGGAAAAUCCUGAUUUGCGGAAAGCCAUGGGUAUGACUUCUAAUCAAAAGGGGGUUCGUAUCAGAAGAGUAGAGCCCACAGCUCCAGCAUUUAAGUUUUUGAAACAAUCAGAUAUAAUCCUUAGCUUCGAUGACAUCGACAUUGCUAAUGAUGGCACCGUUCCUUUCAGGCAUGGGGAACGGAUUGGCUUUAGUUACCUUGUCUCUCAGAAAUAUACUGGAGAGACUGCCAAAAUAAAGAUUCUCCGCAAUGCAAAGAUCCUUGAAUAUAAAGUAGAACUUGCAACACAUAAACGUCUUGUCCCAGCACACAUCAAAGGGAAGCCACCAUCAUAUUACAUCAUUGCUGGAUUUGUUUUCUCAGCUAUAUCAGUACCGUAUCUUCGAUCUGAGUAUGGAAAAGAUUAUGACUAUGACUCUCCUGUCAAACUGCUGGACAAACUCUUGCAUUCAAUGUCACAAACAGAAGAUGAACAGCUGGUGGUGGUUUCUCAGGUCCUUGUGGCUGACAUAAACAUAGGUUACGAAGAUAUUGUCAACACUCAGGUUCUCGCAUUUAAUGGCCAACCGAUAAAAAAUCUAAAGCACCUGGCUAACCUUGUGGAGAACUAUGAGGGCGAGUUUUUGCAAUUCAACUUGGAUUACCAACAGAUUGUCGUUCUCGAGACAAAGACAGCCAGGGCUGCAACAGUUGACAUCUUGACAACCCACUGCAUACCUGCAGCCAUGUCUGAUGAUCUCCGGACAUGAAGCACCUGCACCCCAUCUUUCAGGUUUUUGUUGCAAAGGGGCGUUGCUUUAUCCGAUAUUUAAUGAUUACUUUCUUGUCACAAGCUGCUCAGUUCCCAACCUUGAUAUCAUUUUUGUACAACCAUGAAAAUGGAGCUCAUUUGUUCUUACUGUUAUAACAAACCCAUCUUGCAGAAAUUAUCCUAAAAUAUGCAUUAUUGUGGCAGGUUUUAAAUACUGUCCAUGCAAUGCCGAAUCGCCUAGUUUGAUCUUAUUUUGUUGGCCAUAGUUUUGGAUACAUCGUCAUACACAAUAGAGACGAUGUAUUUUGUGUUGCCUUUGCCUUGGGCCUGUGGGAGUUCGAUAAACGAGGGAUUAGGUAUUUUAUGCGACUAAAAGAGAUGGGAUUUGUGUAUGAUAGAGUGAUACUGACAUGAUUUGUGGAUAAUAGAGUGAUACUGACACCAUUGGCAAUGUUUGCUGGGAAUGAGAUUCAGUUUUCCGUGGAUGAUC